ACUCCUACGGGAGGCAGCAGUGGGGAAUAUUGCACAAUGGGGGAAACCCUGAUGCAGCCAUGCCGCGUGUGUGAAGAAGGCCUUCGGGUUGUAAAGCACUUUCAGUAGGGAGGAAGGUAGUGUAGUUAACACCUGCAUUAUUUGACGUUACCUACAGAAGAAGCACCGGCUAACUCCGUGCCAGCAGCCGCGGUAAUACGGAGGGUGCGAGCGUUAAUCGGAAUUACUGGGCGUAAAGCGCAUGCAGGCGGCCUGUUAAGUCAGAUGUGAAAGCCCGGGGUCUUAACCUCGGAAUUGCAUUUGAAACUGGCAGGCUAGAGUCUUGUAGAGGGGUUAGAAUUUCAGGUGUAGCGGUGAAAUGCGUAGAGAUCUGAAGGAAUACCAGUGGCGAAGGCGGCCCCUGGACAAAGACUGACGCUCAGAUGCGAAAGCGUGGGAGCAAACAGGAUUAGAUACCCCUGGUAGCGACUGA
rnacentral:rRNA from 1 species